CGACGUUCUACUCCCCCUCCCCCGUUUGCCCGACUUUCACACGAGUAUUUGUUUUAUUUUAAUCGAGAGCCCCUAGGACUAGUUGUAAUGAUAUGAAUGGUUAAAGUGGGAAGAGCUCAAGGCUCGAGAAUACUCUCUCCUCGGAAGAAAAUACCAGACAUCCCCGAGAAACAGCCGUGCAGAGCUGAAAAGUUUGGAGCUGUGCUGCAGCUCGGUUCUGGUACUGCCCUCAGGACUCCCAAAUUCCCAGGCAACGGCCACACAAGCGAUGAUGACAACAGCAGCAACUACGAGGCUCCUCGCCGCCUGCUCUAUUUGAAAGCAAACCCGCCUAUUUUUCGUCAGGCAACUGCAGACAGAAGUGGCAACUAAAGCUUUAAACCCUUUGGAAAUUCCUUUCUGAUUUAAGAGAGCCAGGGGGCUUUCGUCCUCUCCCUGCCGUUAGUUGCGAGGAAGGGCAACAAAAGAGAGGAGCCAGACUUUGCCAGGUGUCAGGAAGAUGAGUCUUUAUUGAAGAGUAACCAGCGUUGCCACUCUCCAUAGGCCCUUUACCACCUUUGAAGGAGACUUUCUUGGUGCCUGCAAGAAUCUCGGGCUGCACCCAAGGGGUGCUCUGCACAGACUCCCUGGAAUGAACACUGCUCUGCAUCCCUUCAGGAUGUGCAGGUUCCUGCACUGGGCUGAUUGAAGAUAUGCUAUCAG